rnacentral:rRNA from 1 species
AGCGAACGCUGGCGGCAGGCCUAACACAUGCAAGUCGAACGAAGUCUUCGGACUUAGUGGCGGACGGGUGAGUAACACGUGGGAACCUUCCUAGGGGUACGGAACAACUCAGGGAAACUUGAGCUAAUACCGUAUACGUUCGUGAGGAGAAAGAUUUAUCGCCCUUAGAAGGGCCCGAGUCGGAUUAGCUAGUUGGUGGGGUAACGGCCUACCAAGGCGACGAUCCGUAGCUGAUCUUAGAGGAUGAUCAGCCACACUGGGACUGAGACACGGCCCAGACUCCUACGGGAGGCAGCAGUGGGGAAUCUUGGACAAUGGGCGCAAGCCUGAUCCAGCCAUGCCGCGUGAGUGAAGAAGGUCUUCGGGUUGUAAAGCUCUUUUACCAGGGACGAUAAUGACGGUACCUGGAGAAUAAGCCCCGGCAAACUUCGUGCCAGCAGCCGCCGUAACAC